AUCGAGCUGGCGAGUCCCAAAUAGGACGAAACGCGCAUCCUGGAU
rfam:Schistosoma curassoni strain Dakar, Senegal genome assembly, scaffold: SCTD_scaffold0007079